AUUGAACGCUGGCGGCAGGCCUAACACAUGCAAGUCGAACGAGUGGCGGACGGGUGAGUAAUGUCUGGGAAACUGCCUGAUGGAGGGGGAUCACUACUGGAAACGGUAGCUUAUACCGCAUACCCUCAUAAGUGCCCAGAUGGGAUUAGCAAGUGGGUGGGGUAACGGCUCACCAAGGCGACGAUCCCUAGCUGGUCUGAGGGGAUGACCAGCCACACUGGAACGGAGCCACGGUCCAGACUCCUCCGGAGGGCAGCAUUGGGGAACAUUGCACAAUGGGCGCAAGCCUGAGGCAGCCAUGCCGCGUGUAUGAAGAAGGCCUUCGGGUUGUAAAGUACUUUCAGCGGGGAGGCGUUACCCGCAGAAGAAGCACCGGCUAACUCCGUGCCAGCAGCCGCGGUAAUAC
rnacentral:rRNA from 1 species